rnacentral:rRNA from 1 species
GUCCACGCCCUAAACGAUGAUAACUCGUUGUUGGCGAUACACAGUCAGCGACUAAGCGAAAGCAUUAAGUUAUCCACCUGGGGAGUACGACCGCAAGGUUGAAACUCAAAGGAAUUGACGGGGGCCCCGCACAAGCGGAGGAGCAUGUGGUUUAAUUCGAUGAUACGCGAGGAACCUUACCUGGGCUUGAAAGUUAGUGACCGCUCCUGAAAGGGAGCCUUCCGCAAGGACACGAAACUAGGUGCUGCAUGGCUGUCGU